AUGUUAAAAGACCGACACCCGUAUUUAGAACAUUGUUUUAAAAAUAUCUAUUCAGACUAUAAAAGGCGGAUCACCGGACUUUGGAUGUCAUUCCCCGUCGCUACAUUCCUGCUCGUGAGAAUGCUAGUACCCUCGUCCUCAGAUCAACCGGUAAUCACCGAGGCUCGAAGUCCCAAAAUAUCUACGCAUGGUCUAACUGCAAACUUCCCUGACCGAAUGGCUUUGAGCAGGCUGAUACAGAAAAGCGGAGACAGAGUAAAAAAGCAGGGCAGCCCUACAGUCUCUGGUCGUGCGUCAGGAUGGAGAAAGCAGGCAUGCAGAAAGUGAGACUGUGACUUCUAUGUGCGAUACAUGAAGAGAGAAGAAGAAGAAAAGGGUGAAGAACAGAGAAGACGAUAUAUACAGAGAGGGAGGGAGAGAUGCAAGCGGAGAGACUGUGGCAAAAAUACUUCACCAUUAGGACUGAAUUAAGCCUUAUGAUUCAUCUUCUUGAAUUGAGAGACACACAUUUCAAAUAUCGUAGGAUGCUUCAUCUCAUGUCUGGUAGCCAUUUAGCACUACACCUUUCAGGGUUCUUGCUGUGAGAAUUGUGUGCCAAAAACACUAAAAAAAACUGUGUGCGAGUGCUGUUUGGUAGGAGUAAGUGUGUGAUCAACAACAGUGAGGAAAGAUACUCCAUCUAUGCUGAAUACAUGAAUGUACCACUAACCUGACCAGGUUGGUCUGACUGAAAGCUGGCAGGUUGAAGAGGGUGUCUGUGAGGGAUUUAACCAAAUGCCUGGCCUACUGAAGCACCCUUGAAGAAGUCCUACUACUUCAAAGAGGCCCUGAAACUGCUGCUGACCUCUGACCUCACAGGAAUCAAUAAGGGAAUUAAUAAAUGAGGGCAAAAAAUUAGAAAAACAAACUAAACAAUAACAACUAAACAAGUGUUGCAUGUGCAGGCAUAAAUCGUGGGAAUGUGUGAUAGCAGGAUAAGGCGUGGACCCACAUGGGGAGAAAUGUAUCAUAGAAGACGUCACCAGCACCAAUGGAAGUCACGCAGCAUUCAGGGGUCAGUGCCAACGCUGACGACAGAGUUAGAGAGACAGACAGAGAUCCUGGGUGUGACUAAGGCACUCCGACCAUUGAAAAACAGCGUGCUGUCCUCCUCUCCUCCUCCAUAAUAACAUAAACACACGAGUCAGUCAGCCUGUUUGAGCGGAAAUGUUAGUCUUGAUAACAAAAUAAAUAAAUGAGAAUGUCUCCCCUUCUAUACGGCCUAUUGAGCUUCAACCCUCUGCCUUGCCCUUUUUUUAAGCAUGUCAAUACAAUAAUAAUACCUUCCAAAACAUUUGCCUUGGGUGUAUCAUGGCCCCCGUCUUUUCCACUUGGUUCCCUGCUUGUGUCUAUGUGUCUGUUGUAUACACACAGGUCAUUUUAAUUUGUGUGAUGUCCCCUCCCAUCUGCCUUGUGGCUUUCCAUUCCGACUUGUAGGCUGCGUCUUUCUAGGAAACAGUGGGUGUUUUGGGCUGAUGUUUACUAUUGGGCCCCAGCAGAUGAAGGCAGGCAUACACACAGAAAAGAGAGGGAUUCAUGGGAUCCUUUGCCAGGGUAAUGCUUUAUGUAUUGAACCAUUACAACUGAAGGAAGAAGCCAAAAAGAAGGGUACAAUAUCAGGGUUGUAGUUGGUUUAAUGUGUGAUUUUUUUUAAGGCCCUCCUAAUUUGUUUCCUCACUUACUGUCUUAAUAAACUGAUACCUCCCAUCCCUCUACUCUUUGGUUUACGCUUUUAAAAAAUGGUCACAAAAAUAUAAAAAGGAAUCCCCAAAGUAAAAGACACAUCUAAAAUAUAACUAUACAUUUAAAUUAGUUUUCUGGUUUAGCUUUACAGUAUAUGAUGGUUGAGAACUCAAAGCUAAAGCAAAGUCAGGAGAGAAGCUUGAAAAGAAGUCCAAAAGAACCUCGCCAGGUUUACUAUGUGGAAUCGUUUUCGUUGAGAGUGUGCACAGAGG
rnacentral:lncRNA from 1 species